rnacentral:lncRNA from 1 species
CUUGUUUGCUUGGAGUCUGACGUAAGUCCAGCGAUUGGCAGUCGGUUUCCUGUGUGUGUUUGCUUGGAGUCUGAUGUAAGUCCAGCGAUUGGCAUUCGGUUUCCCGUUUGUUUGUUGUGUGCUUGGAGUCUGACGUAAGUCCAGCGAUUGGCAGUCGGUUUCCUGUGUGUGUUUGCUUGGAGUCUGAUGUAAGUCCAGCGAUUGGC